rnacentral:rRNA from 1 species
GACGAACGCUGGCGGCGUGCUUAACACAUGCAAGUCGAACGGAAAGGCCCUGCUUUUGUGGGGUGCUCGAGUGGCGAACGGGUGAGUAACACGUGAGUAACCUGCCCUUGACUUUGGGAUAACUUCAGGAAACUGGGGCUAAUACCGGAUAGGAGCUCCUGCUGCAUGGUGGGGGUUGGAAAGUUUCGGCGGUUGGGGAUGGACUCGCGGCUUAUCAGCUUGUUGGUGGGGUAGUGGCUUACCAAGGCUUUGACGGGUAGCCGGCCUGAGAGGGUGACCGGCCCAAAUGGGAAUUGGAAACCGCCCAGGACCCCUCCGGGGGGAAGAGGUGGGAAUAUUGGACAAAGGGCCGAAGGCUUAAUGAGCAAAGGCGGGGGCGGGAAUACGGGCCUUCGGGUGGUAACCGGCUUUGCCUGGGACGGAGGGGGAGUUACGGGAAAUGGGUAAGAAGGAACGGCCAACUAAGGU